rnacentral:rRNA from 1 species
GUAGGUGGCAAGCGUUGUCCGGAAUUAUUGGGCGUAAAGCGCGCGCAGGCGGUUCUUUAAGUCUGAUGUGAAAGCCCACGGCUCAACCGUGGAGGGUCAUUGGAAACUGGAGAACUUGAGUACAGAAGAGGAAAGCGGAAUUCCACGUGUAGCGGUGAAAUGCGUAGAGAUGUGGAGGAACACCAGUGGCGAAGGCGGCUUUCUGGUCUGUAACUGACGCUGAGGCGCGAAAGCGUGGGGAGCAAACAGGAUUAGAUACCCUGGUAGUCCACGCCGUAAACGAUGAGUGCUAAGUGUUAGGGGGUUUCCGCCCCCCUUAGUGCUGCAGCUAACGCAUUAAGCACUCUGCCUGGGAGUACGGCCGCAAGGCUG